UAGAACAGUAGAGUUUGGUUUUUCUCCUA
rnacentral:piRNA from 1 species